UACGUAGGGGGCAAGCGUUGUCCGGAAUCACUGGGCGUAAAGCGCGCGCAGGCGGCGAUCUACGUCUGGGGUGAAAGCCCGGAGCUCAACUCCGGGACUGCCUUGGAUACGGGAUCGCUUGAGGAUUGGAGAGGCAAGGGGAAUUCCACGUGUAGCGGUGAAAUGCGUAGAUAUGUGGAGGAACACCUGUGGCGAAGGCGCCUUGCUGGCCAAUUUCUGACGCUGAGGCGCGAAAGCGUGGGGAGCAAACAGG
rnacentral:rRNA from 1 species